rnacentral:rRNA from 2 species
GACUCUGGUAUUGAUUGGUGCUUGCAUCAUGAUUUACAUUUGAGUGAGUGGCGAACUGGUGAGUAACACGUGGGAAACCUGCCCAGAAGCGGGGGAUAACACCUGGAAACAGAUGCUAAUACCGCAUAACAACUUGGACCGCAUGGUCCGAGUUUGAAAGAUGGCUUCGGCUAUCACUUUUGGAUGGUCCCGCGGCGUAUUAGCUAGAUGGUGGGGUAACGGCUCACCAUGGCAAUGAUACGUAGCCGACCUGAGAGGGUAAUCGGCCACAUUGGGACUGAGACACGGCCCAAACUCCUACGGGAGGCAGCAGUAGGGAAUCUUCCACAAUGGACGAAAGUCUGAUGGAGCAACGCCGCGUGAGUGAAGAAGGGUUUCGGCUCGUAAAACUCUGUUGUUAAAGAAGAACAUAUCUGAGAGUAACUGUUCAGGUAUUGACGGUAUUUAACCAGAAAGCCACGGCUAACUACGUGCCAGCAGCCGCGGUAAUACGUAGGUGGCAAGCGUUGUCCGGAUUUAUUGGGCGUAAAGCGAGCGCAGGCGGUUUUUUAAGUCUGAUGUGAAAGCCUUCGGCUCAACCGAAGAAGUGCAUCGGAAACUGGGAAACUUGAGUGCAGAAGAGGACAGUGGAACUCCAUGUGUAGCGGUGAAAUGCGUAGAUAUAUGGAAGAACACCAGUGGCGAAGGCGGCUGUCUGGUCUGUAACUGACGCUGAGGCUCGAAAGUAUGGGUAGCAAA